GAGUAGCCAGAAGCAACCACAGGAAAAUACAUGCAAGCCCUGUUGGUGCCAAAAGGACUUUAGGCCCUGCAAAAGCUCUGC